AUCAGGAUGGCCGAGUGGUUAAGGCGUUGGACUUAAGCUCCAAUGAGCGCAUGCCUCUCGUGGGUUCAAACCCCACUCCUGGUA